rnacentral:rRNA from 1 species
UGGGGAAUUUUGCACAAUGGGGGAAACCCUGAUGCAGCGACGCCGCGUGAUUUAGAAGGCCUUCUGGUUGUAAAAAUCUUUUCUAUGGGAAGAAAAUGACAGUACCAUAGGAAUAAGGACCGGCUAAUUACGUGCCAGCAGCCGCGGUAAUACGUAAGGUCCGAGCGUUGUACGGAAUCAUUGGGCGUAAAGGGUACGUAGGCGGGUAAGCAAGUUAGAAGUGAAAUCCUAUAGCUCAACUAUAGUAAGCUUUUAAAACUGCUCAUCUUGAGGUAUGGAAGGGAAAGUGGAAUUCCUAGUGUAGCGGUGAAAUGCGCAGAUAGUAGGAGAAGUACCGGUGGCGAAGGCGACUUUCUGGCCAUAACCUGACGCUGAGGUACGAAAGCGUGGGUAGCAAACAGG